rnacentral:lncRNA from 1 species
UGAUCAUAUCGAUUGAUAAAGGCUAUGUUCAUAUGAACUUGAGUAGAAGUGUAAGGUAUCAGACUUCUAGAAUUAUGAAGUUACGGUGUACAUUUGGUUGGAAAGUCAUUUGAAUGGUUCUGGUGAAGUUUGGUGAAGUUCGGGAGCAUUCGGACGUUUCGGUAUGCGUAGGCGCGAAAACGGAACCCGAAAGGCUAUGUUGGACCAUGAACUAAAUCCGGCGUUAGCGUGGAUGGAAAGAUAAUGAAAAUGUGCUCGAAAACAUGUUUUGAGAGUCUCGGAUCGAUUUGAAAUGAAUCGGAGGCCAAACGAGCGAAAACGAGCGAAAACGGAAAAGAAACGGUAAAAGGUUGAAAAUUUGGUUAAGUCCUUGAGGCUGAUUUUCUGGAUCUACGGCGACGGGUCCCUCAGCCAAGGACCGGUCCUUGAGGGACCGGUCCCUCAAGCAAGGACCGGUCUCCGUAGCUCGAAAAUGCCCUGCGCGGGCUGGGUCAUGUUUGAGGAGUUGAGGGGCUGUUUUGCAAUUGUGGCAUGAGUUGAGGUAUGUGGGUGAAGUGGAGCUCAUUUCCUCUCA